AGCGAACGCUGGCGGCAGGCCUAACACAUGCAAGUCGAACGAACUCUUCGGAGUUAGUGGCGGACGGGUGAGUAACACGUGGGAACGUGCCUUUUGGUUCGGAAUAACUCAGGGAAACUUGUGCUAAUACCGAACGUGCCCUUCGGGGGAAAGAUUUAUCGCCUUUAGAGCGGCCCGAGUCUGAUUAGCUAGUUGGUGAGGUAACGGCUCACCAAGGCGACGAUCAGUAGCUGGUCUGAGAGGAUGACCAGCCACACUGGGACUGAGACACGGCCCAGACUCCUACGGGAGGCAGCAGUGGGGAAUCUUGCGCAAUGGGCGAAAGCCUGACGCAGCCAUGCCGCGUGAAUGAUGAAGGUCUUAGGAUUGUAAAAUUCUUUCACCGGGGACGAUAAUGACGGUACCCGGAGAAGAAGCCCCGGCUAACUUCGUG
rnacentral:rRNA from 1 species